UGAGGAACAUGACCUUCGGCGGGGGAUAGCCGGCCCAACGGCCGGGUAAUACCGCGUACGACCACAUGGGGACAUUCCUGAGUGGUGAAAGCAGCAAUGCGCCGAUGGAGUGCCUCGCGGCCUAUCAGCUAGUUGGUGAGGUAACGGCUCGCCAAGGCGACGACGGGUAGCUGGUCUGAGAGGAUGGCCAGCCACAUUGGGACUGAGACACGGCCCAGACCUCGUACCGGGGA
rnacentral:rRNA from 1 species